rnacentral:ribozyme from 1 species
AAAAUGAAGAAGGCCCGUAAAAGUCCCAAAAAAGAACGAGACGAAAAAAAGAAGAAACAAACAUGUUGUUGUGUUGCUUUUUAACCGAUUUAUUUUGGGACUACAUCUUCCUCUUCUGUAAUCC